rnacentral:lncRNA from 1 species
CUAGAGUCUGGCAAAAGGCUGAGCAUGAAACUUCCAAUGGUGCCAGGCUUCCAGCAGGAGGAAUAGAGGCUGUGGUAAAGGAAACCGUUGGCAAAUGAAAGAAACCAGAAACUGUCACUACCCAUAACAACGAAACAACAAAAAAAUUUACAGAAAAGGAAGGGGAGACAAAGGAAAUUGUUUAAAGUGGUUGAAGCCUGUACAGUCUGAUGUGAUCAUUAGGCGUGAGGGUGCCGCAGCAUGGUGGUGCCUAAGACACUGACUCCAAUUUUCCAGUGAGAACAGGAAGGCUUUAAGCACCAAAGCCAUGCUGUCCAGUAAUACUGCUGAGCAAGAAAGCUUUUCUUGAAGGAAGAGAAUAGCGUUUAAUUGAGACUAUUUUUGUCAGUCUCCUAACAUGCUCCUCAGACCACUAAUAUGCAAAAGAACCUAAGGAUCUGGUCACCAAGUUACGUCAAAAGAGUUUACCCCAUAGUCCUUUUUACUGCCUUUUGCAGAACAAACGUUUAAUAAUGUCGCUAUUGUUCAUUGGUUAUCAAGAAAUAACUCAUUGUAACUCAGAAGUGCUUAGCAAA